GCGGGAUUAGUUUAAUGGUAGAAUAGGAGUUUUCCAAACUCUUGACGGGAGUUCGAUUCUCCCAUCCCGCA
rnacentral:tRNA from 1 species